rnacentral:rRNA from 1 species
AUGCACGCUGGCGGCGUGCCUAAUACAUGCCAGUCGAGCGAACAGACGAGGAGCUUGCUCCUCUGACGUUAGCGGCGGACGGGGGAGUAACACGUGGAUAACCUACCUAUAAGACUGGGAUAACUUCGGGAAACCGGAGCUAAUACCGGAUAAUAUAUUGAACCGCAUGGUUCAAUAGUGAAAGACGGUUUUGCUGUCACCUAUAGAUGGAUCCGCGCCGCAUUAGCUAGUUGGUAAGGUAACGGCUUACCAAGGCAACGAUGCGUAGCCGACCUGAGAGGGUGAUCGGCCACACUGGAACUGAGACACGGUCCAGACUCCUACGGGAGGCAGCAGUAGGGAAUCUUCCGCAAUGGGCGAAAGCCUGACGGAGCAACGCCGCGUGAGUGAUGAAGGUCUUCGGAUCGUAAAACUCUGUUAUUAGGGAAGAACAAAUGUGUAAGUAACUAUGCACGUCUUGACGGUACCUAAUCAGAAAGCCACGGCUAACUACGUG